rnacentral:tRNA from 2 species
UCCACUACUCAGUUGGUAGAGUACAACGCUCUUAACCUUGUGGACGUGGGUUCAAGCCCCAUGGUGGAG